CGAGCGAGCUUGCCUAGAUGAAUUUGGUGCUUGCACCAAAUGAAACUAGAUACAAGCGAGCGGCGGACGGGUGAGUAACACGUGGGUAACCUGCCCAAGAGACUGGGAUAACACCUGGAAACAGAUGCUAAUACCGGAUAACAACACUAGACGCAUGUCUAGAGUUUAAAAGAUGGUUCUGCUAUCACUCUUGGAUGGACCUGCGGUGCAUUAGCUAGUUGGUAAGGUAACGGCUUACCAAGGCAAUGAUGCAUAGCCGAGUUGAGAGACUGAUCGGCCACAUUGGGACUGAGACACGGCCCAAACUCCUACGGGAGGCAGCAGUAGGGAAUCUUCCACAAUGGACGCAAGUCUGAUGGAGCAACGCCGCGUGAGUGAAGAAGGGUUUCGGCUCGUAAAGCUCUGUUGGUAGUGAAGAAAGAUAGAGGUAGUAACUGGCCUUUAUUUGACGGUAAUUACUUAGAAAGUCACGGCUAACUACGUGCCAGCAGCCGCGGUAAUACGUAGGUGGCAAGCGUUGUCCGGAUUUAUUGGGCGUAAAGCGAGUGCAGGCGGUUCAAUAAGUCUGAUGUGAAAGCCUUCGGCUCAACCGGAGAAUUGCAUCAGAAACUGUUGAACUUGAGUGCAGAAGAGGAGAGUGGAACUCCAUGUGUAGCGGUGGAAUGCGUAGAUAUAUGGAAGAACACCAGUGGCGAAGGCGGCUCUCUGGUCUGCAACUGACGCUGAGGC
rnacentral:rRNA from 1 species